ensembl:miRNA
UAUUAGGUUGGUGCAAAAGUAAUUGCAGCUUUCCCCUUACUUUCAAUGGCAAAAACUGCAAUUACUUUUGCACCAACCUAA